CCAGGUGAUCUUAUGGAGACCUCAGUUCUCCCACACGGACUCCUCUCUCACUCCAGGCUGGGUGAAAGGGCAUGAGUCUGUCUGGGAAGCCAUUUCUCCCUGUCCAUAGCCUGUCCAGUUCCUGUUGCGACCUCAGCUGCCAUCCUUUCUUAUCUCCUGCUGUAUCCAAGACAACCGACAGCUCCUAUGAGGCAGUGAGAAGAGAAAGGUGCGGCAGACAGGGUCAGUUCAACAGUCAGAGCUUCCCGGCUGAGGCAGCCACCUGCUCUGUCUGAGGAUCUCAUGGUGGGAGGGAGCAGACUGGGCUGUUUGUGAAAUUCAAGGAGGUAUGGUGGUGGUGGCAGGGGGCUUUAAAGGCACUGAAAAAGAAGCUUCUUUAAACACCAGUGCCCCAAGCUCUGGCUGAGCCAGCCUUUAUUGAGAGUUGGGAACUGUAUGAGUGUAGAAUCAGAAGAACUGGGUUGCAUGCCUUCCUCCAGCCUGACCAGCUGUGUGAACUCAGGGCAUUUGGACUCAGAACAUUCACUGCCUCAGGGGACAGACGACCCACCAGAAGUUAGAAGUUGGUUCUUGUCUUCUGAGUGUCAAACACUGAUGCCUGUUGCCCAUCGAAACUGUCGCUCCACAGAGCUGACAGCUCCCUGCAGCAUGUGAGAUGUGCCACAGCCAGGGAAGAUCUUAGGAAAAAAAAGAGGACCAUUUUCAGGAACGAAGCAGCUUGUGCGGAUUUCCUGACAGCCUGGACUAAUUGUCUUUUCUUCUGUUCUCUACGCUGAGAGUAUUUACAUGGGAACAACCCAGAGGCUG
ensembl:lncRNA